CAAAGAUGGAGUCUCUCUUCAUUAACACCCUCAAUUCGCAGGACAAAUCCGAAUAGCUAAAGUUUAUGGAAAAACUGUACAACGAUGAUGUUAAUAUUUCAGUGUUAACCGUCCAGAUGGAAAUCUUACAAGUGCUGCUGAAGGAUGCGUCACCACGCGCAUAUAAAAGCUAAGUUAGCGUCCCUUUAAGCCAGAGUUUCGCAAGAUUUCGCCUUGAACAGCAGUACCUUCGUUCUUUCGUUCCAAACCUUUGGCACAAGCGGGACCGAUAUAGAAAUUGAAUAGAAAUCCACAAGCAUGGUGGAAAAGUCGAAGAAAAGACUUAAAGAUCCCAUGGGCAAACAAAGAAGUCAUAUUACCAAAUUUAUUGCUCAAAACAAGUUGAGACAAGAAUUUGUUCCUCUGUUGGGGAAGUAUGUUGAUUUACUCAAGGCGGAGCCUCUACAUAACACUUCUUUCCCUUCUCGCUGAACCACAAAAGAAAGACCUUGUGUAGUCUCCCAGACUUGACGUUUCAGGCAUUUCAAAACUGCAAGCAGAAGGGAACUUUCUGGGAGAUCAGAGACUGUUGUUGCUUCAUUGAGGUGAGUCUGGUUUGUGUCCUGUAUUACAACAGAGAGUGCAGCUGAAAACCAGUUCUGCCAAGCAUUGAUGUGCAUUACAUUCUCAUAUGGAUUCAAGUGGCUUGAAUCAAAGUACUUUUGUUGGCAUUUUGCCACUUUGAUAAAGGAACUUCUGAAGAUCAACUCUCUUUCAAAAGGAUCAGUUGUGAAACUUCACACUUUGGCAUUUGUUGUAGUCAAAUUCAGAGAUGCAGUUUCUAUUUACUCAAGAGUUGAGGUGCGCAUUGAACAAGUGGGAAAGCUAAAGACCUCAUGUCAACACACACCAGGAAGUUUAACAUCUGAGGCUUGGGCCUCAAUUAAAUGCAAGGUGGAGAGGCAAAGCAUGUUAAGCUAGCUUAGUAUGUGGAAAACAAAUGCAAUGCCAAAAAGACCUUCAGGUGGUGGAAAGUGUUCAGACACAAAUUUGUCCACAUGGUGUGCCUGAGAGAAAGGAACCCCAACAGCAUUGCUUAUUGCAUCGAGAAGAAGAAUAUCAGCGAUUCUUACAUUCCAAGGAGAGUUGAGAUUGUGACCACAGGUUUUGCUAUUGUGGACUUUCAUGUAUGGUUAUUUAUUCCAUUAUGGUGCAGUAUAUAAGCAAAGUGUCACUCAAUUUCCACCAACAUAACAUUAAACUUGAUGAAAAAAUUAUUUCUAUACAUACACGAAUGAUCCAUAAAGAGACUUGGUAGUUUAUUUAAAUAUUCAACACCGCCCAAGUUUAUAUACAAAAAAAACAUCUUGAAAAAUUUAUACGUCAAGCCAAGUUUGUCCACAUAUGAUUAAAACCAAUGGAACUAAUUAAACAUACACCUUUGCAUCUGUUUGGUCAGUGCUGCGGGAUGCCGUUCACAUUCCAGUAUCCUUAAUGAUAUUUAAUGAUGAGAACUUCACCACCUAACUGUACGCCAUCAGAGGAGGAAACUUCAGAGGAUACCCUCCUUCACUGGUCGACCUUCAAUAAAAAUUUUUCCAUACAUAUUGUGUGGCUUUUCUUUUUACUGCAGGAAUUAGAUGGACCAAAUGUAAGUAGGGCAGGGAAGAAGCUUACCCUAGAUCCAGUUGAAUGGAAAAGAUUAAACCAAUUAUAUUCAAUUUCUUUCUUUGAUGUUGACACAACGGGAACUGCUGUGGAUUGCUGGAAAGUCAUUGACAGUUAUCUCUGUAACAGAAAGAUGGCUGAACAAGCAUGCGCUAAUUGGUAUAUAAUAAAACUGCUGUUUGUUUUGUUUCGAAACUUUUAUUGUUGACUUUCUAUUGACUUUGAUUUUCUACUGUCAAAUAGGCAAGGUUAUAAUGUGAAUAAAAUAUUUGGGUUGUUGCCAGACUUGAAAUUUGUGAGUGUGUUAUGAAAGACCUUCAAAUUAUUGACAGGUGCUU